CCUUGUACACACCGCCCGUCACGUCACGAAAGUCGGCAACACCCGAAGCCCGUGGCCCAACCAGCUUGCUGGGGGGAGCGGUCGAAGGUGGGGUUGAUGAUUGGGGUG
rnacentral:rRNA from 1 species